rnacentral:rRNA from 1 species
UGCACCGCAGAUGGAGGAGCCCGCGGCGCAUUAGCUAGUUGGUGGGGUAACGGCCUACCAAGGCGACGAUGCGUAGCCGACCUGAGAGGGUGGACGGCCACACUGGGACUGAGACACGGCCCAGACUCCUACGGGAGGCAGCAGUAGGGAAUCUUCCGCAAUGGGCGCAAGCCUGACGGAGCAACGCCGCGUGAGCGAAGAAGGCCUUCGGGUUGUAAAGCUCAGUCACUCGGGAAGAGCGGACGAGGGAGUGGAAAGCCCUCGCCGAGACGGUACCGAGAGAGGAAGCCCCGGCUAACUACGUG